AGUGAACGCUGGCGGUAGGCCUAACACAUGCAAGUCGAACGGCAGCACAGUAAGAGCUUGCUCUUACGGGUGGCGAGUGGCGGACGGGUGAGGAAUACAUCGGAAUCUACUUUUUCGUGGGGGAUAACGUAGGGAAACUUACGCUAAUACCGCAUACGACCUACGGGUGAAAGCAGGGGAUCUUCGGACCUUGCGCGAUUGAAUGAGCCGAUGUCGGAUUAGCUAGUUGGCGGGGUAAAGGCCCACCAAGGCGACGAUCCGUAGCUGGUCUGAGAGGAUGAGCAGCCACACUGGAACUGAAACACGGUCCAGACUCCUACGGGAGGCAGCAGUGGGGAAUAUUGGACAAUGGGCGCAAGCCUGAUCCAGCCAUACCGCGUGGGUGAAGAAGGCCUUCGGGUUGUAAAGCCCUUUUGUUGGGAAAGAAAAGCAGCAGGUUAAUACCCCGCUGUUCUGACGGUACCCAAAGAAUAAGCACCGGCUAACUUCGUG
rnacentral:rRNA from 1 species